rnacentral:piRNA from 1 species
UCCUCUUCUUAACAUGCUCCAGUUGGU